GUUUAUUGUAAAGGUUGGCACGCUUCCAGCUGGUUUGAACCGGGUUUUGUUUCAUUUACUCGUGCUUUGUGGCAGCCGGUACUUUAUACUUGGGUUUUUGUACUUUGUGCCACCUCACUUGUUCGUUGGGCAUUUGUUUUGUGACGCGGUUGCGUUCUGCGAAAAUGAUUGCCUCAGUAAAGGUCUUUGUCCACUCACCUCUGCUCUCCUGCGCCUGACUUUCAUGCACCAGCUACACCCACCGCAUGACAGAAUUUCACACCCACAAUAUGGAGUCAGCAGGAGCAGGUGCCCCUGGUAUAGGGGGUCGAGGAGCUGGUUUGCAUCGGUCGGACGGUGCGCUGUCUGAGUGGGAAGUACUGGUGUCCCAUUUUAGCUAAGGAUGUGAUGAUUUAUGUUUCCUCCUGCUAGGUGUGCGCCCAGUGUAAGGCUCCUAGGCACCUGCCCAGAAGUAAAUUACACCCCUUACCCGUUGCACCUGUCGUGGAUUUCCUUACCGAUAUUCCUCCCUGACAGGGUAACACCACGAUCCUGGUCGUUGUGGACCGGUUUUCUAAGUUCUGCCGUCUCCUCCCUCUGCCUGGUCUCCCUACGGCCCUACAGACUGCGGAGGGCUUGUUUACACACGUCUUCCGGUACUAUGAGGUGCCUGAGGAUAUAGUGUCUGAUCGGGGUCCCCAGUUCACUGUCGAGGGUCUGGAAGGCAUUCAUGGAACGUCUGGGGGUCUCGGUCAGCCUUACUUCGGGUUUCCACCCCGAGAGUAACGGGCAGGUGGAGAGAGUUAACCAGGAUGUGGGUAGCUUUCUGCAGUCUUAUUGCCAGGACCGGCCGGGGGAUUGGGUGAAGUUUGUACCCUGGGCAGAGAUGGCCCAGAACUCGCUACGUCACUCCUCCACUAACCGUUCUCCCUUUCAAUGUGUAUUAGGGUAUCAGCCGGUUCUGGCUCCUUGGCAUCAGAGUCAGACCGAGGCUACUGCGGUGGACAAUUUGUUCCAGCGCGCGUAGGAAACCUGGGAGGCCGCCCACGUCCACCUUCAGCGCGCCAUUCUGCACCAGAAAGUUGGCGAAGACCGUCACCGCACUGAGGCCCCGGUGUUCGCACCAAGGGACAGGGUCUGUCUCUCGACCCGAAACCUGCCCCUCCGCCUGCCCUGCCGGAAGCCGGGUCCGCGGUUUGUGAGGCCGUUUUAAGUCCUGAGGAUGCCCUCAAUGUCCGCGUCCAGCUCCCACACUACCGGUGCCACCAAACCAGAAGCUGGGAGUAUGGGAGUGGGAUCCAUGGACCGCUCCUCUGUGUCAUACAGCCGGGACAAUGCGUCUGCCUUAACGUUCUGGGAGCCUGGCCUGUAAGAGAGGAUAAACACAAAACGAGUGAAAAACAUGGCCCACCUUGCCUGGCGAGGGUUCAGUUUCCUCACCUCCCGGAUGUACUCCAGAUUGCGAUGGUCAGUCCAGAUGAGAAAAGGGUGUUUAGCCCCCUCAAGCCAAUGUCUCCUUGCCAUCAAGGCUUUGACAACAGCUAACAGCUCCCGGUCCCCCACAUCAUAGUUUCGCUCCGCCGGGUUGAGCUUCUUCGAAAUGAAGGCACAGGGGCGGCGCUUCAGUGGCAUACCCGAGCGCUGAGAGAGCACUGCUCCUAUCCCAGCUUUGGAUGCAUCCACCUCCACUAUGAAUGUCAAAAAGGGUUCCGGAUGAGCCAACACAGGAGGGUGGGCUGUCCCUGUAACCACAGGGUUGUCGGUUCAAACCCAGGGUUGGCGGAACCCCCUUCAGUCGCUACAUGAACGUUAUGAAAAAGGUGGAAUAAGAUCAAAAGGACAAAAUUAUUUGCUGUGUUCUGUGCAGAGCCAGUGUGUCACGACUUCUACCGAAGCAUCUCCUUGUUCUGGCGGUGCUCGGCGGUCGACGUCACCAGUCUUCUAGCCAUCAUUGAUCCAUUUUUCAUUUUCCAUUGGUUUUGUCUUGUCUUCCUACACCUGGUUUCAAUCCCAUUCAUUACCUGUUGUGUAUCUGUUUCCCCUCAUGUCUUUGUCAGAGAUUGUUUGUUAUUCAGUGUUGUGUUGGUUUUUGUAUUGGUGUGAGACGGGUCCUCGUACCCACUUUAUUUAAUGUUACAUUUAGUGUUUGGAGUAUGUUUCGUUUAUUUGUUAUUUAAUACUCAGUUUGAUUCUCCUGCGCCUGACUUCCCUGCCACCUAUACACAUGACUGACACAGUGGUCUAGUGGUAAUGCUCCCUGACUUUAUGCUUAAACUACUGUCCACAGGAAACCAGGGUUCAAUCUAUGGAGCCACCCUUCCUAAUGGUCUCCCAUUACCAACUGUCUAGAAAAUGCAACAACAACAAAAAUAAUCUGGAUGAGGGAAUCAAUUCAGAGGUGUUGGGAAUCAAUUCAGAGGUGUUGGGAAUCAAUUCAGAGGUGUUGGGAAUCAAUUCAGAGGUGUUGGGAAUCAAUUCAGAGGUGUUGGGAAUCAAUUCAGAGGUGUUGGGAAUCAAUUCAGAGGUGUUGAGAAUCAAUUCAGAGGUGUUGAGAGAACUUUU
ensembl:lncRNA